GAUGAACGCUGGCGACGUGCCUAAUACAUGCAAGUAGAACGCUGAAGCUUGGUGCUUGCACCGAGCGGAUGAGUUGCGAACGGGUGAGUAACGCGUAGGUAACCUGCCUCUUAGCGGGGGAUAACUAUUGGAAACGAUAGCUAAUACCGCAUAAAAGUCGAUAUCGCAUGAUAUUGAUUUGAAAGGUGCAAUUGCAUCACUAAGAGAUGGACCUGCGUUGUAUUAGCUAGUUGGUGAGGUAACGGCUCACCAAGGCGACGAUACAUAGCCGACCUGAGAGGGUGAUCGGCCACACUGGGACUGAGACACGGCCCAGACUCCUACGGGAGGCAGCAGUAGGGAAUCUUCGGCAAUGGGGGCAACCCUGACCGAGCAACGCCGCGUGAGUGAAGAAGGUUUUCGGAUCGUAAAGCUCGGUUGUAAGAGAAGAACGAGUGUGAGAGUGGAAAGUUCACAAUGUGACGGUAACUUACCAGAAAGAGACGGCUAACUACGUG
rnacentral:rRNA from 1 species